UACAGAGGUCCCAAGCGUUGUUCGGAUUUACUGGGCGUAAAGGGUGCGUAGGUGGCGUGGUAAGUCGGGUGUGAAAUUUCGGAGCUUAACUCCGAAACUGCAUUCGAUACUGCCGUGCUUGAGGACUGGAGAGGAGACUGGAAUUUACGGUGUAGCGGUGAAAUGCGUAGAUAUCGUAAGGAAGACCAGUGGCGAAGGCGGGUCUCUGGACAGUUCCUGACGCUGAGGCACGAAGGUCAGGGGAGCAAACGGG
rnacentral:rRNA from 1 species